CCCAGCUCUCAGGAGGCUGAGGCACAAGAAUUGCUUGAACUGGGAGGUGGAGGUUGCAGUGAGCUGAGAUCUUGCCACUGCACUCCAGGCUGGGCAACAGAGUAAGACUUUCAUAAAUAAAUACAUACAUACAUACAUACAUAAUUGUUCAGUAUAAUCCUAUGUUGUCAUUGUUUUCUUUUUAUUUAUUUAUUUAUUGCUUUUUAGAUGGAGUUUUGCUCUUGUUGCCCAGGCUGGAGAGCAAUGGCAUGAUCUUGGCUCACCGCAACCUCUGCCUCCCGGGUUCAAGCGAUCCUCCUGCCUCAGCCUUCCGAGUAGCUGGGAUUACAGGCAUGCGCCACCAUGCCCGGCUAAUUUUGUAUUUUUAGUAGAGACGGGGUUUCUCCAUGUUGGUCCAGCGCUGGUCUCAAACUCCUGACCUCAGGUGAUCCAGCCACCUCGGCCUCCCAAAGUGCUGGGAUUACAGGCGUGAGCCACCACGCCCAGCCUUGUUGUUUUCUUUUUAAGAGGGUGGGGAGAGGCAGAGGCAAGUGGAAUUGGAACCAGGACCUAAAGUCGGCUCCUUUUGCAGCUUGGCUUCUGGGUGGGGUUGAUGUCUGAGGGUGGGACCCCAGGGAUCCAAGACAGAAGAAAAGCCAGUGUUUCCACUCCCACCUCGCCCUCACCCCAGACAAGCAGUGUGCUCACUCCGCCUUCCACCUUCUGCCAUGGGAUGACCCUCCCCAGACGCUGAUGCCACGUUUUUGGACUUCUCUGCCUCCAGAACUGAUUCCAGGGACCUGGGAUGGUCUGUAUUCUUGGCAGUUCUCAAGAUCUACGAGUCUUAUUUCCUGUUAACUUUUUUCCUUUUGCUUGAUCCUAUCGGGCACAUGGAUCUUCCUAAAGUUUUGAUUCUGUAAUUAGUGCUACCAUAAAAAACUGUACAAUUUUGGAGAGUGUUUUU
rnacentral:lncRNA from 1 species